rnacentral:lncRNA from 1 species
UUCAUUUCUAUUAAGUAGAAACCUGACAUAAGACAAAAAAUGACUGAUAAUUGAAUUAGUUACACAUUCAAUGCUUUGGCUAAUGGGAUAUUGGCUCAAGUCAUUGAAAAUGUGUCCAAUGGAAUAUUGGAAACUUCCUAAAAAUUUAUUGUCAUUUAGCACUUAUCCUUCAACAGUCAAGGUGGUUCCUAUUUUAUCUUUUUUAAAUGUGGUUGUAAUUUUUCUAUUGUACUAUACAUUAGAGUUUGUUGAUAUGAUUGCUUUCAAUAAAAAGUUCUAGCGAAAUGUCAAAUGGAUUGCUAUGAUCUCGAAACACUCUUACAUUUAAAUACUUUAUUUUAAGCUUUGAACAGCAAAACUAACUCUAUGGCAUCCAUCUUACUUUCUACUACCGAUGAUUUACAGCAGAGAAAAUUAUUUUCUGAAAGAUUUGCAUUGCUUAAUUUUGGCAUAAUUGCAACUAGCCGAUUGGCGGGAGAUGUUAGCUCAGAG